UGAGGAAUAUUGGUCAAUGGGGGGAACCCUGAACCAGCCAUCCCGCGUGCAGGAAGACAGUUCUAUGGAUUGUAAACUGCUUUUCUUGGGGAAGAAUAAUGACGACGUGUCGUCAGAUGACGGUACCCGAGCAAUAAGCAUCGGCUAACUCCGUGCCAGCAGCCGCGGUAAUACGGAGGAUGCAAGCGUUAUCCGGAAUCAUUAGGUUUAAAGGGUGUGUAGGCGGUUGUAUAAGUCAGUGGUGAAAUUCAGCGGCUUAACGGUAGAAUGGCCAUUGAUACUGUAUGACUUGAGUGUGUUUGAGGUAUGCGGAAUGUGUAGUGUAGCGGUGAAAUGCAUAGAUAUUACACAGAACACCGAUUGCGAAGGCAGCAUGCUAAGCCACAACUGACGCUGAUGCACGAAAGCGUGGGGAUCAAACA
rnacentral:rRNA from 1 species